rnacentral:rRNA from 1 species
AGCGAACGCUGGCGGCAGGCUUAACACAUGCAAGUCGAGCGGAGAUGAGGUGCUUGCACCUUAUCUUAGCGGCGGACGGGUGAGUAAUGCUUAGGAAUCUGCCUAUUAGUGGGGGACAACAUUCCGAAAGGAAUGCUAAUACCGCAUACGUCCUACGGGAGAAAGCAGGGGAUCUUCGGACCUUGCGCUAAUAGAUGAGCCUAAGUCGGAUUAGCUAGUUGGUGGGGUAAAGGCCUACCAAGGCGACGAUCUGUAGCGGGUCUGAGAGGAUGGUCCGCCACACUGGGACUGAGACACGGCCCAGACUCCUACGGGAGGCAGCAGUGGGGAAUAUUGGACAAUGGGGGGAACCCUGAUCCAGCCAUGCCGCGUGUGUGAAGAAGGCCUUAUGGUUGUAAAGCACUUUAAGCGAGGAGGAGGCUACUGAGACUAAUACUCUUGGAUAGUGGACGUUACUCGCAGAAUAAGCACCGGCUAACUCUGUGCCAGCAGCCGCGGUAAUAC